rnacentral:rRNA from 1 species
AACGAACGCUGGCGGCAUGCUUAACACAUGCAAGUCGAACGAGAACUUCCGGUCUCGUGGCGAACGGGUGCGUACGGCGUAGUAACACGCCCUUAGGUUCCGCAUAACUCCCCGAUAGCGCUGAUAAUAUCGGAUUAUGUCUUCGGAUCACUGAUUAAUCGCCUUUGGAUGGGUCCGCGUUGGUUUCGCUUGUUGGUAGGGGAAUAGCCUACCAAGGCGACGAUCCAUUGCUGGUCUGAGAGGAUGAUCAGCCAGACUGGGACUGAGACACGGCCCAGACUGCGACGCGAGGCAGCAGUAGAUAAUAUUAGGCAAGAGACGAAGGCCUAGUCCAGCAGUGUCGGGUGAGUGGGGAAUGCCGUUGGGUUGUAAAGCCCGUUGACCCGGAAUGAAAAUGACAGUACCGGGAGAAUAAGCUCCGGCUAACUCCGUG